GAUGAACGCUGGCGGCGUGCCUAAUACAUGCAAGUCGAGCGAACAGACGAGGAGCUUGCUCCUCUGACGUCAGCGGCGGACGGGUGAGUAACACGUGGAUAACCUACCUAUAAGACUGGGAUAACUUCGGGAAACCGGAGCUAAUACCGGAUAAUAUAUUGAACCGCAUGGUUCAAUAGUGAAAGACGGUUUUGCUGUCACUUAUAGAUGGAUCCGCGCCGCAUUAGCUAGUUGGUAAGGUAACGGCUUACUAAGGCAACGAUGCGUAGCCGACCUGAGAGGGUGAUCGGCCACACUGGAACUGAGACACGGUCCAGACUCCUACGGGAGGCAGCAGUAGGGAAUCUUCCGCAAAGGGCGAAAGCCUGACGGAGCAACGCCGCGUGAGUGAUGAAGGUCUUCGGAUCGUAAAACUCUGUUAUUAGGGAAGAACAAAUGUGUAAGUAACUAUGCACGUCUUGACGGUACCUAAUCAGAAAGCCACGGCUAACUACGUG
rnacentral:rRNA from 1 species